UUGCCUCUCAGAUUGUUCACAGCUUUGUGGAAGUUACCUGUGGAGCUGAUGUUUAGGCCGAGGUGACCACGGCCGUGGUGAAGGUGGACGAGUACCUGCUAGAGAUGGUGGUGUAUCGUCAGGGGCGAUCCAUCGGAACCUCCUACCCCAAACUACUCAGCAACAACAACAGGGACCUGUAGUGGGGAGAUCUACGCACCCUGAUUCUGAAAUCAGGCCCAAAUGGAACCCUAUUCCCUAUGUAGUGCACUGCUUUCAACCAGGGCCCAUAGGGCUAGGAGUGCACUAUAUAGGGAAUAGGGUUCCAUAGGACUCUGGUCUAAAGUAGUUCACUAUAUAGGGAAUAGGGUUCCAUAUGGCUCUGGUCUAAAGUAGUGCACUAUGUAGGGAAUAUCGUGCCAUUUGGGGCCUAGUCAGAAUCAUCUGUCAUGUUAAAGAUUGAUCAUUGUCGUGUACUGUGUGUUUGACACCAUAUUGUUAUUAGGUUGUGUCCUCCUCCAUCAAAUCCUUAACCUCGUUGCCAGGUUCAAUGACUAAUUACAGAUCCUGGAUCAUUCAUCAUUUGCUCUGAACUAUUAUAUUAGAGGUUACAGUUGAUCCAGGACCAGGAUUGUGUCUCUCUCUGCUACCAGCUCUCCUCUCUGUCCUGAAUAUUCUGUUCUGGUCCUUGGUCUUUCACAAAGCAGAGGGCUGUUUUUAUUUCCUGUUAAGAAAACUACUAAAGCAUUUUGACAAUCCAUUAAAACCUAGAUUUACUAUGAUAGGAACCUGAUUGUCUAACAUUAUAUUAACAGUGUUGUACUCUUGUUUUUAACAUAUUACUUAUGAUUAUUAAGUUUAAUUUCUGCUUGAAGAAAAUAAAACAAGUAUACUAUCUUA